GAUACCCCUGUAGUCCUGGCCGUAAACGAUGAACACUAGGUGUCGGGGGAAUCGACCCCCUCGGUGUCGUAGCCAACGCGUUAAGUGUUCCGCCUGGGGAGUACGCACGCAAGUGUGAAACUCAAAGGAAUUGACGGGGGCCCGCACAAGCGGUGGAGUAUGUGGUUUAAUUCGAUGCAACGCGAAGAACCUUACCAGGGUUUGACAUCCUGCGAAUCCCUUGGAAACUUGGGAGUGCCUUCGGGAGCGCAGUGACAGGUGGUGCAUGGCUGUCGUCAGCUCGUGUCGUGAGAUGUUGGGUUAAGUCCCGCAACGAGCGCAACCCACGUCUUUAGUUGCCAGCAUUAAGUUGGGCACUCUAGAGAGACUGCCGGUGAUAAACCGGAGGAAGGUGUGGAUGACGUCAAGUCAUCAUGCCCCUUACAUCCUGGGCUACACACGUACUACAAUGCUACGGACAAAGGGCAGCAAACUCGCGAGAGCUAGCAAAUCCCAUAAACCGUGGCUCAGUUCAGAUCGUAGGCUGCAACUCGCCUACGUGAAGGAGGAAUCGCUAGUAAUCGCAGGUCAGCAUACUGCGGUGAAUACGUUCCCGGGCCUUGUACACACCGCCCGUCACACCAUGGAAGUUGGCCACGCCCGAAGUCGUUACUCCAACCCUUGUGGAGGAGGAUGCCGAAGGUGGGGCUGAUGACUGGGGUGAAGUCGUAACAAGGUAGCCGUACCGGAAGGUGC
rnacentral:rRNA from 1 species